rnacentral:rRNA from 1 species
GACGAACGCUGGCGGCGUGCUUAACACAUGCAAGUCGAACGAGUGGCGAACGGGUGAGUAAUACGUGGGUAACCUGCCCUCUUUUUGGGAUAAGCCUUGGAAACGGGGUCUAAUACCGAAUACAGGGGGAUCGGCUCGCGGCCUAUCAGCUUGUUGGUGGGGUGAUGGCCUACCAACGCGGUGACGGGUAGCCGGCCUGAGAGGGUGACCGGGCACAGUGGGACUGAGGUACGGCCCAGACGCCUACGGGAGGCAGCAGUGGGGGAUAUUGCACAAUGGGCGAUAGCCUGAUGCAGCGUCGCCGCGUGGGGGAUGAAGGUUGUCGGGUUGUAAACCUCGUGCGCUAGGGAACGGUUAGGUGGAGAAGAAGCGCCGGCUAACUACGUGCCAGCAGCCGCGGUAAUAC